rnacentral:lncRNA from 1 species
GUUAUGCUCUAUUUGCCAGGGAAAAAGUAACAGGUUCCAUUUCUGACAGUUCUUACUGAAAAUUUAAGCAGCAUCAGCUUGUGCUCCCACCUGGCAAGGUAGAAAGCUGAGUUAUGCUACCAGCAACAACAGGAAGCACAACGUGGAGCCUGAGGCCUCUGAGGGGUUGAAGCUAAAAGCAACAAAGCAUAAAUGCAGCAGUGAGGCAAUAAUCCAGAGUGGAAAAGAGAGCUUUUUUAAAAAUUGUUCUGAAGGGAGUUCCAAACACCAAGUGAAGAGUAUGGAGUGAAGAUUAUGAUUAGGAUGGAGGCGACGUCCUAAGAUUCUUCCAAACACUGCAUCAUUCUCACACAGAAAAUGGACUCUUUCCAACGGUUAAAUCAAGACUGAAUCUUCGACCUGUAGAGACAGACAAACGCAUGCUCACCUUGUUGCAAUUUAGCAGAGCUCUUUUGCUGGUUGUAUAGCAAGAAGCAUGAAGACUUAAAGGCGGUCAAAUAUAUUUUCCCCCCACAAGAGAGGGGGAAAUCUUUGUUUCUGAUGAGAUUAAUCUUAUAAUCUGGAGAUGAUGAACAUCUCUAGAAGCCAUUGAUUCCAAAUGAAAACCCAGACUGAAACAGUGUCUCCUGUUUGGCAUCCAAAAUAGUUCAUACUGAAGUUAAGAACCCUGAACAAGUAGGCCCUUCUCCAAACAUUUGGCCUAAGAAUCAAUAUUUCUUGGUUUCCAAAAUACUAGCCCAUUUCUGCAAGUAUUUUACAACCUUUAGUUGAAAGGCGCUGUAUAAACAAGAUGUGCAUGUUAUUAAAUAGACCAGGGAGAAAAACAAUUUCACUCAAAGACAAGAAAUUAUCUAAAAGAGCCUAAAGAUAAGGAAAAGGUUUAAAGGAAGAAUUUACAUAUGUUUAUCAGGAAACUACAGUAAUUCAAAUAUAUAUAUGCUAGUAAAUUCAAAACGUAUGAUAAAACAGGAACAUACACUUUUCAAUGUGCUCAUGUGAUGCAAAGCUGAGGGAAAUUUACUGGAAAGCAUUAUUCAGACAGGCUACAGAAGAUAUACACAUCUUACAAGAGCUAAUCUGAAGGCAACAGUUCAACUCUCUAUAUGACUGUCACUCAGAAAUAUGUAUAGGACAUGUAAUAGUUACAGUAUACAGUACUUAACCUGGCACAAAUAAAACUGGAGAGGCAUCAC